UGCACAUAGAAAAACGAACAAAGAUACAGUGCCACGUGUUUCAUUUCCAUCUCUCUCUAUAAAUGUUGAGCAAAUGGCAGGAUCAGAGGGAGGCAAAAGCUCCUUUCAUCCGUUGAAGUGCAAACGGUUCCUGCUCGACCGUCCAUGGCCACGCUUUCAUCAAGGUUUCUUUCUCAAUCAAUUGGAGUAAAAAGUGAAUUCCCCAAGUUUACAGUGGUGACUGAUGAAAGGAGCCUUGACUGUAAAAGCAAAUGCUCGUGUCACUUCACGAGAAAACAGAAGUUGAAUAGAAAUGGCCUUAAUAGAAAGAAAGCUGGCCAAAUGAUCAACUAUUUCGAGAAGAUUAAUGAUGGAAAGCUUUUUGCAAUAUCGCCAAAUUCCAUUGAGAUAGCUUUGGAUAAAAGAAUUCAAACCAAUGUGAUUGAAGAUCGAACCACUUUUAUGUUCAGGACAGAAAUAGGUGGUCAGGUCAAGGUAGUAGUUUCCCAGAAGAGCAUGAAUUACGUUAUUUCUGUUGAACUCAUAUCCUUAACAGAUGUCUGUUAUCAGAAUUUGGAAUUACAUUGGGGUAUCUUUCGAUCGGAUUCUUCAUGUUGGGUUCUCUUAGACUCUGAAAACUCACCUUCAGGCACAGAUCUUGUUAAAUCUGAAAGCGGAGAGGAUUGCAUGAAGACACUGUUCAAGAAAACUUGCUCGGGUGAACAUUCAUUGGAGUUGAUGUUUGAUUCAUGUCAAGCGCCUUUCUAUAUUUCAUUUAUCGUCUAUUCUCCUUUUGAUUCUGCUUGGGGGAAUUCGCAGAUACGGACUCACAGGAAAACAAAUUUUGUUGUUCCUGUUGGUAUUGGAAGGGGCAAUCCUCUCCCCUUGGGCGUUUCCUUGAAUGAUGAUGGCUCAACAAACUUUUCUCUCUUUUCACGCAAUGCCGAAAAUGUGGUCUUGUGUUUAUAUGAUGAGAAUACUGCUAAACCUGCUUUAGAGAUUGAAUUGGACCCAUAUAUUAAUCGAAGUGGUGAUAUGUGGCAUGUAUCUUUAUCAAGUGUCCGACAAUACUUGAGUUAUGGAUUUCGGUGCAAGGGAGCUAUUCUUUGGGACAAAGGGAAUCGGUAUCACAUGCGGCGUAUUCUCUUAGAUCCAUAUGCUAAGAUUCUUGGCAAUUUCAAUUACAAUGAAGGUGGAUCUGUCCCAUUGGUGAAGUGUCUUGGUCGCUUAUAUACAGAAACUGCUUUUGAUUGGGAUGGCGAUACCAGUCCAUGGAAGUUUAAAUUGCAACCAGGCAUCAUUUUGUGUGUUCCAUGGCUUAAGAAUUAUCUUCGUCAAAUUUUGUCAUUUUGGAGCUCAAAACUCAGUCAGAAGUUUAAUCACAUGCCCCAUGAAAAAAAAUUCAGAGCUGUUAGUUUCUUGAGCAUUCCAAUGGAGAAACUGAUGGUUUAUCGACUAAAUGUUGGGCGUUUUACUGAAGACAUGAGCAGUCUCCUACCAAAGGAUAUUGCUGGUACCUUUCUUGGUGUGAUUCAGAAGUUGCACCAUUUAAAAAAUCUUGGGGUCAAUGCACUUUUGUUGGAGCCCAUAUUCCCCUUUGACGAGCUGAAGGGACCCUAUUAUCCUUACAAUUUCUUUGCACCUAUGAACAAGUAUGGACCUCUACGUGAUGGAAUAUCAGCUUGCACUUCUAUGAAAGAGAUGGUGAAAGCAUUGCAUGCAAAUGGAUUAGAGGUUUUAUUGGAAAUGGUGUUUACUCAUACAGCAGAAGGUGGUGAUUCUUUGUGCCAAACAAUUUCGUUUCGCGGGAUUGACAACUCCUCUUACUAUAUAGUUGAUAGGAACGUGGAAUCCGAAGGUGGCAAUGUAUUGAACUGCAACCAUCCUAUGGUCCAAACUAUGAUUUUGGAUUGUCUUAGGCAUUGGGUGCACGAGUAUCAUGUUGAUGGAUUUUGUUUCAUUAAUUCUUCAUCUCUUGCUAAAGGGUCCGAUGGAGAGCUCUUAACCCUUUCUCCCCUAAUUGAAGCUAUAGCAUUUGAUCCAAUUCUCUCUCAUGCCAAGAUCAUUGCUGAUUGUUGGUCCCCACUUGACAUGCAAUGCAAGGAAAUACAUUUUCCUCAUUGGAAGAAGUGGGCAGAGAUGAAUGCAAGGUUUUGUUAUGAUGUGAGGAACUUUUUAAGGGGUGAAGGCCUUCUAAGUAAUCUUGCCACCCGACUAUGCGGAAGUGGGGAUAUCUUUUCGGAUGGUAGAGGACCCAGCUUUUCUUUUAAUUAUAUUGCAAGGAACUUCGGCUUGCCUCUUGUAGACUUAGUUAGUUUCAGUGGCAGUGAGCUCAGUGCUGAAUUGAGUUGGAACUGUGGAGAAGAAGGUCCUACAAGUACACCUGUGGUUCUGGAAAGUCGACUGAAACAGAUUCGCAACUUCCUUUUCAUAUUGUACAUAUCUUUAGGUGUACCCGUUCUCAACAUGGGGGAUGAAUAUGGCCAGUCAACAGGAGGUUCAACACUCUACAGUAACAGAAAAUCUUUUGACUGGGGAAGCUUGAGAACUGAUUUUGGUGUUCAAACAACACAAUAUGUUACAUUUCUCAGUUCACUACGUACUAAGCGAAGUGAUCUACUUCAGAGAAAGCAUUUCAUGAAAAUAGAACACCUUGAUUGGCAUGGGGAAGACCAAUCUCAACCACAAUGGGAAGCACCAUCUAGCAAGUUUCUAGCCGUUACCGUGAACACAGGGGAUGAUGAAACAGAAACAAGAUCUAAUGGUGGUGACCUGUAUUUUGCCAUCAAUGCUCAUGGUUCCUCAGAAUGUGCUGUUCUGCCUCAAGUUUCAAAUAACAUGGCCUGUGUCUUCAUUCAUGCAGGUUUUGCCUAGUGGACACCAGCCUCCCAUAUCCAGGUUUUUUCUCAAUGGAAGGCAUUCCUAUUGAUCAACCAGCAACAAGCAUUGCCAUUUAUAGCAUGAAGCCUCACAGCUGUACUCUUUUUGAAGCCCGGAAGAUUAGCUAACGAACUCCCAUUACACGAUUCCUCAAGUAGCUAGCUGAAAGAGUGGCCAUGAGAUGUGGCAGGACGAAUGGUUGUUUCCUGCGAACGAAUCCGACAUGUAUUGUAAUGUUAUCUUUGUCUUUCCUGUAUAUGUAGUACCUCUUAACUGCCAAAAGUACAAUGCAGAGUUGAAUAAGCAGUCUGGUUUUCUUAAGUUAAUCAGCUCCAUCGUUUGUAAUAUAUUUUGUCUGAAUCAAAUGCGAGAGAACUGUGCCACUAAAUGCAUCUUGGAGCUCUUUGAUUAACA